CGCUGCCCGCGACAUCACAAGAAGUCCACUAAACCUUAUCAUUUAGAGGAAGGAGAAGUCAUAACAAGGUUUCUAUAGGUGAAACUACGAAAGGAUCACUG
rnacentral:rRNA from 1 species